rnacentral:pre_miRNA from 8 species
CUUCUGGAUGUUACACUGAGCUCUUGGCUUUGAGAACUGAAUUCCAAGGGUGUCUGCUUUAUAUUCAGCCCACGGAGUUCAGUUCUUAAGUUUGGAUGCUCACGGCCGUCUGAACACAC